rnacentral:rRNA from 1 species
UACGUAGGGGGCAAGCGUUGUCCGGAAUCAUUGGGCGUAAAGCGCGUGUAGGCGGUCCGGUAAGUCGGCUGUGAAAGUCCAGGGCUCAACCCUGGGAUGCCGGUCGAUACUGCCGGACUAGAGUUCGGAAGAGGCGAGUGGAAUUCCCGGUGUAGCGGUGAAAUGCGCAGAUAUCGGGGAGGAACACCAAUGGCGAAGGCAGCUCGCUGGGACGUUACUGACGCUGAGACGCGAAAGCGUGGGGAG